rnacentral:tRNA from 1 species
GCGCCUUUAGCUUAACGGAUCGAGCACCGGCCUCCGGAGUCGGGGAUGGGAGUUCAAUUCUCCCAGGGCGCACCA